GUGUCUACUUCGGCAGCACAUAUACUAAAACUGGAAGGAUACAGAAAAGAUUAGCAAGGCCCCUGCACAAGGACGACAUGCAAGUUCAUAAAGGCUUCCUUUUAUGU